GACGAACGCUGGCGGCGUGCCUAACACAUGCAAGUCGAACGGGGUGAUUCCUUCGGGGAUCACUUAGUGGCGAACGGGUGAGUAACGCGUGAGAAACCUGCCUUUCAGUGGGGGACAACAGUUGGAAACGACUGCUAAUACCGCAUAAUGUUUCGAGAGGGCAUCCUUUUGAAACCAAAGCUUUAUGUGCUGAAAGAUGGUCUCGCGUCUGAUUAGCUAGUUGGUGAGGUAACGGCUCACCAAGGCGACGAUCGGUAGCCGGACUGAGAGGUUGAACGGCCACAUUGGGACUGAGACACGGCCCAGACUCCUACGGGAGGCAGCAGUGGGGAAUAUUGCACAAUGGGGGAAACCCUGAUGCAGCAACGCCGCGUGAGGGAAGACGGUUUUCGGAUUGUAAAACCUCUGUCCUCUGUGAAGAAGAAAGUGACGGUAGCAGAGGAGGAAGCCACGGCUAACUACGUGCCAGCAGCCGCG
rnacentral:rRNA from 1 species